rnacentral:rRNA from 1 species
UACGGGGGGAGCAAGCGUUGUUCGGAUUUACUGGGCGUAAAGGGCGGGUAGGCGGCCACCGCAAGUCAGUUGUGAAAUCUCCGGGCUUAACCCGGAAAGGUCAACUGAUACUGCGGGGCUUGAGUGCGAAAGAGGGUCGCGGAAUUCCCGGUGUAGAGGUGAAAUUCGUAGAUAUCGGGAGGAACACCGGUGGCGAAGGCGGCGACCUGGGUCGACACUGACGCUGAGGCGCGAAAGCGUGGGGAGCAAACAGG